AGCUCCAAUAGCGUAUAUUAAAGUUGUUGCAGUUAAAAAGCUCGUAGUUGGACUUCUGAUGUGGAGGGACGGUCCGCCUCACGGUGAGCACUGAUUCUCUGCGUCUUCCUCUCGUAGUCUUUUGGCGCACUUAGUUGGGUGCCUUGAGAAUAUGGGACCUUUACUUUGAAAAAAUUAGAGUGUUCAAAGCAGGCAAUCGCUUGAAUACAUUAGCAUGGAAUAAUAGAAUAGGACUUUGGUUCUAUUUUGUUGGUUUCUAGGACCGAAGUAAUGAUUAAUAGGGACAGUUGGGGGCAUUAGUAUUUAAUUGUCAGAGGUGAAAUUCUUGGAUUUAUGAAAGACUAACUACUGCGAAAGCAUUUGCCAAGGAUGUUUUCA
rnacentral:rRNA from 1 species